rnacentral:misc_RNA from 1 species
AUGUAAGUCUUCUUGGAUUGCAAGUUCUUCACUUCUGCUAUCACAUUCGCAUACAUGUAAAAGAAGCACAGAAGUGCUGCCAUCAAUUGAAAUCUGAAAUUCACUAGCUUCAUCUUCACACUCUGCCUUGCGUAACCUCAGUUGGAUAAUUCAGGCAAUUCAGUGAGUCCCUUCUGAUACUAUCUUUAUUUGAAAACUGCAAUGAGAAUGGAAAUUAAGUAAGGUCUACAUAGGAGUAGUAGAGAUUCUCUUGGUUGCUAGCUGGCUAAUGCAUUUCCA